ensembl:lncRNA
AGACUUUGUAUACGUGAUUAAGUUAAGGAUCUUGAGAUGGGAAGAUUACCCGGGAUUAUCUGAGUGGGCCCUAAAUGCCAUGACAAUGUCCUUAUAAAAGGGAGGUUACACGCAGAAGAGGAAAAGACAGCGUGAUGGAGGUGGAGAUUGGAAUGAUGCAGCCACAAGCCAAGGAAUGCUGGCAGCCACCAGAAGCUGGAAGAGGCAAGGGAUAGAUUCUCUCCUAGAGCUUUCCAAGGGAGGGCAGCCUGCUCGCACUUUGAUUUCUGUCUACUGAAACUCAUUUUGCACUUCUGGCUUCCAGAACUGUGAGAGAAUAAAUUCCUGUUAUUUUAAGCCACCAACUUUGUGGUAAUUUGUUAUCACAGCCUUGGGAAACUAAUAUAGUCAUGUGGCCAUUACGUAUAAUAAUCUCCGUUAGUUCCUCAAUAACUACAUAUUUAAUACUGACUAAUACUUAUAUGCAUGUCUCGAGUCAUUUUGGUCAUCUCACGUUCAUUGUCUGGUAUCUUUAGGAAGGGCUCAUGGGAACAUUAUUCCCUGAUUUUUUUUUUCGCAUGUUGGCAACCUUUUGUCAAAACCACUGGAUACAGAAUCCUUCACAUUUUCUUUAUCUUAAAUGUUAUUACUCCAUCUCUUUGUGGCAUGAAGCUUGUUGUAAGUCUGAUGAUAAUCUAAUUUUUUCCCUUAUAAUUUGUGUAUUGUUUUUCUUAGAUGCCCAAAUGAUCUUUUUCUUUCAAGUCCAGUAAUUUUCCUAGAGUAUAUCUUGAUAUCCAUCUGACUCAGUAUUCUCAGGUACACAAUAUGCUCUUUCAACAUGAGGUUUCAGAUAUUUUCUUCUUUGGGAAAGUUUCCAUGAAUUGUUUUCUCUGUCUCCCAACUUUAUCUUCUAAUGCCAUGUAGUACCCACAGGCCCCAUCUCUAAGUCACUAUCAGUCUGCCACUAAGAACUCGAAUAAGUCUUGAUGCCACAGCUCCUAGAAUUUUUACCGAAGCCUGCAGUGAGCUAUGAAAAAAGAAAGUUAGGUCAGACUCACGUUCACGACAUAAAACCCCUGCAGAAUCCCAUGGUGGAGCCUCAACUGGACUUAAGGAAAGCUGCUUCACACCCCUUCCUUAGGUCCCCCUUACAGCAAACAGCCCAUGUUCCCAGAAGCACUGAGAGCAGCAGCAGAUGACCUGUAGCUGCCUCCCUAAUGCAGGAUUUAGAGCUGGAAUGGACAGCGACACCUGGCUCAUCCCCACCCACACCUGGACAGCUGGAGCAGUUUGGAAGGGACCAUAACAAGACAGAAGUCAAGGCUCAAUCCUAAACCAGCUGUGUGAUCUUGAAUAAAUCACCAAACUCAUUCAAGCGUGGGUGUCAACUAAAUCCAAAAAAAGGAAGAGACGGCCUCGAAAUGUCCAAGAAUCUGCCACGCGUCCACAUCCACCUCCCGGCCAGGUUCAGGACAAGCCCAGGACACACCUACAGACUCAGCUCAGAUGCUCAGCGGAUGUUUAUUAAACCAUCCAUCCAUCAACAAGACUGUGUUGAUGGUUAGCCCUAACAAGCAUGAUUAGGGUCUGGUUCUCUAAUUCUGUUUGACGGGUUUUGUGGGCUCCAGGGGAAGAAUGAAGCACGCAAAAGUUUACCAAGGCUGACUCAACACACUCCACCAAAACCUAAAUGAGACCAGAGUCUGCAAAACAAGCAAAUAUCACCCUGCCGGCCAACCCAUCUGCUGUCCCAGUGGAAGAUUAGAGUCAGCGGAACUACGAGGACGGGGAAGAAGGAGCAGAACCAAUCCAUGUUUAUGAUGCCAUCAGGGCCACCCCAUCAGACAGCCAAGUCUGCCUUCAGGGUGAGGCAAGAGUAGGCCAAGGCCUUCCUCCCCUCCUGCGGGGUAACAACUCAGUCCCACCCAUCAGCUGAGAGCCAAGCUACGUACUCUGCCAUUGGCACAGGUCUCUCCUACGAUACGUACACUGAUAUAACUCGCUUUGAGGAAGGUCAGGAAGGUCAUGGAUGAGCACUUUACACCUACCGAGGCCUUAAUCAGUCAGAGAAUAACUGGGCUGCCAGAGGAAUCUUAGAGUACAUCUUCUGGGUCACACUUAGGAGAAACACAAGUCCCAGAGGACAAAAAACUACACUGUGGGCCCCGUUCAUAUUGCAUAACUCUGUAGGGCUGCUUAAUGUUUUUCAGAAGUGUCCACAGUAUGUGCUCCACUAAUCUGUACAUAGCCUGAGGGAGAGAUUAAAUGCCUAAUACACACCUAAAGCCCUCACCACCAAAAACACUGCCUGCACGUGAAAAAGUCCCCUUUGCACAUCUGUUCCUGGAUAAUUCUGAAAGUCCACAGGAUAUACCAAGCUUGCAGGAUACCACAGUACAUCACAUAACCCUUGCACCCAACAGGGUCUUGUUCAAGGCUGCAGCCCUAAAACCUCGCAUGGGACCUGACGUGCCACAGAACUCAGUAAAUGACCUACUGAUUGCAAUAAUGAAAUUAUCUUUGAAGAAAACAUAGGCAGUACAGUCUUUGACAUCAGUAUUAAAAGGAUCUUUUCGGACACCAUGCCUUCUCAGAGAAGGGAAACAAUAGAAAGAAUAAACAAAUGGGACUUCAUCAGAUUAAAGAGCUUCUUCAAGGCAAAUGAAAACAGGAUUGAAACAAAAAAACAACCCACUAACUGGGAAAAAAUAUUUGCAAGUCAUAUAUCUGACAAAGGCUUAAUAUCCUUAAUAUAUAAAGAACUCUCGCAACUCAACCACAAAACAUCAAACAACCCAAUCAAAAAAUGGGCUGGAGACAUGAACAGACAUUUCUCCAAAGAAGAUAUACUGAUGGCCAAUAGGCACAUGAAAAGAUGCUCAUCAUCGCUGAUCAUCAGGGAAAUGCAAAUCAAAACUACACUAAGAUAUCACCUGACACCCGUUAGAAUGACAAAAGUAUCUAAAACUAAUAGCAACAAAUGUUGGAGAGGUUGCGGAGAAAAAGGAACCCUCAUACACUGCUGGUGGGAAUGCAAACUGGUGCAGCCACUAUGGAAAACAGUAUGGAGAUUCCUCAAAAAACUAAAAAUAGAACUACCAUAAGAUCCAGCCAUCCCACUACUGGGUAUUUAUCCAAAGAGCCUGAAGUCAGCAAUCCCAAAAGUCCUGUGCACCCCAAUGUUUAUUGCAGCACUGUUUACAAUAGCCAAGACGUGGAAGCAACCUAAGUGCCCAUCAACAGACGAAUGGAUAAAGAAGAUGUGGUACAGGGGCCGGCCCGGUGGCACAGCGGUUAAGUUCGCACGUUCCGCUUCUCGGCGGCCCGGGGUUCGCUGGUUCGGAUCCCGGGUGCGGACAUGGCACUGCUUGGCAGCCAUGCUGUGGUAGGCGUCCCACGUAUAAACUAGAGGAAGAUGGGCACGGAUGUUAGCUCAGAGCCAGGCUUCCUCAGCAAAAAGAGGAGGACUGGCAGUAGUUAGCUGAGGGCUAAUCUUUCUCCAAAAACAAAAACAAACAAACACAAAAACAAACAAACAAAAAAAACACCACACAAAAAAAAGAUGUGGUACAUAUAUACAAUGGAAUACUACUCAGCUGCAAAACAGAACAAAAUCAUUUCAUUUGCAAUAACAUGGAUGGACCUUGAGAGGAUUAUGUUAAGUGAAAUAAGCCAGCGAGAGAAAGAUAAUCUGUGUAUGACUCCACUCAUAUGAGGAAUUUAAAACUAUGGAUCAAGAACAGUUUAGUGGAUACCAGGGGAAAGGUGGGGUGGGGGGUGGGCACAAAGGGUGAAGUGGUGCACCUACAACAUGACUGACAAACAUUAAUGUACAAUUGAAAUUUCACAAGAUUGUAACCUAUCAAUAACUCAAUAAAAAAAAAAGAAAUUAAAGCUGAGAAAGGUGAAAUGACUUGCCCAAAAUCUUAGCAAACAGUUCACGUCAAGGCUGGUACUAAAAAAGGUCUCCAAACACCAGGGUCCUCCAUCUUGCUGUGGCACAAAUAACCAAACUCUCAGGAGCCCUGUUUACAGGUGGGUUAAUGGUCUAAAAAGGUCCCUACAGAACUUGACACACAGGACAAAAGAUGAUUUAACCUUCUAGGACUACCUCAUGACUGAAUUCAGGCUAAACCUUGUCAGCAAGAGCACUGCAUAGUUAGUGCUGUCUGCUCCUUGCACAGCCCAGCUGGUGGCACAGAACGCCCGGUCUGUCAUGUUGUCUUCUGCCAGUUGCUCCUGAUUCCGCUGAUGUGCAGGAUGGGAACUGAGAGCAGCAAGGGUUAAGGUCUCUCAUAACCGUGUGUGGGUCUCCUCACUGACUUAGCGCAGUUGGAGGCCGAAGGGCUGGGAUUUCUCCCGUCCAACCAGCCUUUGCAGUAAAAACCUUGGGGAGUGCUUUGUGGUUGUGAUGUUGAUCUUCAGCAUAGGAUCCCGUCACUGCUGUGUUUGGGUUUUACAUUGAUUUGCUGUUUUAGAAUUUUUUCAUCAAGUGAAAAUGGUACUUUUUGUGAAGUGGUUUCUUUCAAAUCAGUAAUAUCUUUCCUUAGUUCCAGAGAUCUUGGUAUCUGAGAGACAGAAAGAGAAAAUAAAAAUGAAAUGUGAAAAUGGACAGACAGCUGCCAAGUGAACCCUGCCUGGCUCUGGCACCACUGUCAACUCCCAGAAAUCUGGAAGCUGCAAGGUCUGCCUCUCUCCCUACUGGGGCAUGAUGCGGACUUUGGUCACGAACGACUGUCUUGGCCAGGAAUUAGCUGCCACCGUGGAAACGGCAACCGGGCAGAGGCAGACAUGUGUCCUCCGCUGGGUGACAGAAAAAAGAGAGAACGGGAGAGUGCACGCCAUCCGCCGACAGAUGAGCACACCUCCGGCAUCUGACUGCACGUGACCACACUGGAGAAAGAUCACGGAAUUGGCCCAUCUGAGGACCACGGUGAGAAACACAGAGCACUCUGGGAAAGGGACACUUGGCGGUUGCGUGCAUGGGGGAAACGGGGAUAGUCAGUGCUCGCUGAAUUCCCUCGAUCGGAGAUGCCCAGAUGGCCCCUUCCAAUGGAGUCCCGGGAUUCUUCCGAGUUACCUGCAACACAGGCUGUCUUGGAUGCCCCCGUCGUCCUCCGGAUCGGUGUGUUGGCCUGGAAAGAAAUUCGCACGGGGCCAGUCACACUAAGCAGAUCCCCACUCGACCCUUGGGAAUCCAGUGUCCAGUCCCAGCCCAGGGACCUCCACAUCCUCAGUGUGACAACGGCAGACGGGAAGAGCAAUCUGCCAGGAGACCUCAGGCGGUGUCUCGUGAAAGCGCCGGCCUGGCUUUGCUGAGCCAGCGGGCCGCGUCUCCCCGAUCGGGGAGGCCCUCAGAGCAGGAUGCUCUCCCGAGUCUGGGAAAACAGCCAAAGAGGCGUGGGGCUCACACCUUCUGGGGCACCAGCCUAAGAGCCUGCUCGGACAAGUGCUGGGCUACUCAGCCUUCUCUGCGCAGGGACACUAGUUCUGGAGGCUCGAGUCUAACUCAUCGCCUGAGGGGAGAAGGCCGGCUGCACUCUACAAACCCUGGCAUCCAGAGGCAUCGUCGCCCCUGCUCCGCAGAAACACUGGCCACCCUGUGGGCCGGGAGAAGGCCAAGGCAUAGUACUGGUACAAAAACAGGUGCACAGAUCAAUGGAACAAAAUUGAAAGCCCAGAAAUAAAACCACACAUCUAUGGACAGCUUAUCUUUGACAAAGGAGCUGAGGGCAUACAAUGGAGAAAAGAAAGUCUUUUCAACAAAUGAUGCUGGGAAUACUGGAAAGCCACAUGAAAACAAUGAAAAUUGACCAUUCU